UACGUAGGGUGCAAGCGUUGUCCGGAAUUAUUGGGCGUAAAGAGCUCGUAGGCGGUUUGUCGCGUCUGCUGUGAAAACUCGGGGCUUAACCCCGGGCCUGCAGUGGGUACGGGCGGGCUAGAGUUCGGUAGGGGAGACUGGAAUUCCUGGUGUAGCGGUGAAAUGCGUAGAUAUCGAGAGGAACACCUGCGGCGAAGGCGGGUUGCUGGGCCGACACUGACGCUGAGGCGCGAAAGCCAGGGGAGCGAACGGG
rnacentral:rRNA from 1 species